rnacentral:lncRNA from 1 species
AGUUACGUUGAGUACAGUUCCAGAAAGAUGAUACUACCACCACCAUGUUUAACAGUUUCUGUCUCUCUUUCAGUCUCUGCGUCCGGUACUGAGAGUGUCCCGUAUCGGUUCUGCUCGACCCAAGUCCUCCUCUGUGAGUGUUGGGCCGUCCAUGGCUGUGACAUCAUCACUGAGCAGCAGCCUAUCAUCUUCCACGCUGGACAUCAAAGACUCUGGUGAUGUCACUGUGUCUGCCGAGCAGGGCGGACCUCAGAGCAGGGCGGGGCCAGAGACGGACCCGCCUCUUUCUGAAUGGUGUUGGGGACAUGUCCCAUGGGACGUGUCCCAAUUCACUAGUCAGGGCAGCGGUAGUGUAUUGGAGCGCAACCCUGACGAUACAAGUUGGAUGCCACGUGAGGAGCGGUGUGUUUAUUUAUUUAUUUAUUUAAUCCUUUCUUCUUGGGUUUACCUGCUUUAAGAUCAACUGUUCUGCAAUUGGGUUCAGCAACCCUCUGGGCUGGAGAGCUACUAGUCUGUAGCUCCAUCCUAUUACACUUCAUUACACUUCAUUACACUUCAUUUUACAAAACUGACUUUUUUUGUGGCCACGUAAUGGCUUGGAAAAUAUCUGGCCUGCGGCCAAACUUGAUUGCCAACCCCUGACUUCAUUGAUCUCGGUGAGGAUUUCUCACUGAUCUCUAUUAAGACCAAAGCAGUGAAUCUCCGGUUGGAGGCGUGACCUUUGUCUGACCUCUGCCCUACCUGUAGAUCAUGAUCAGCGCUCUGUAGCGCCCCCUACAGUCUGACCCUGGAUCAGUUCUGCUACAGUAGACGUCUGGCCGUUUCCCUCCUUCAGCUCCUUCAGAAGAGAGAAACGACCCGUCAGAACCAGAACCUGAUUAAAGCCUCUUAAUUCCGGACAGUUAAUUGAGUUAAUUGAAGAAAUCGUUAAUCCGUCAGAUUUGAGCGUAAAUCCCGGAGCUGUUCUGCUCCGAUAUCUCCCUCCGUCCCGCUCUUAUUCUUAACGUUUAAACCGGAUCAGAACCGGACUUUUGUUUUGAGCUGAAAGGAAAUGAAGGUAAAAAUAAACCUCUGAUGAGGAAAAUCA